rnacentral:rRNA from 1 species
CCUACGGGAGGCAGCAGUGGGGAAUAUUGGGCAAUGGGGGAAACCCUGACCCAGCGACGCCGCGUGAGGGAAGAAGGUUUUCGGAUUGUAAACCUCUGUCCUUGGUGACGAUAAUGACGGUAGCCAAGGAGGAAGCCACGGCUAACUACGUGCCAGCAGCCGCGGUAAUACGUAGGUGGCGAGCGUUGUCCGGAAUUACUGGGUGUAAAGGGAGCGUAGGCGGGAGAGCAAGUCGACUGUGAAAUCUAUGGGCUUAACCCAUAGCUGCGAUCGAAACUGUUCAUCUUGAGUGAAGUAGAGGCAGG